AAUGUCAUUCCAUCCACCAAAACUUUCCCUGUCCAUGAAAAACACACAAAUUGAUAUACUUUCCUUUUUAGUUUGUCCAAAAAUUACAAAAGAAAAGAUACCUUUAUAUAAUUAGAAACAAUUUAACUCUAAACUUCAUACUUUUUUAGCUUUAAUGACAUGAUUUAUAACCACAAAAAUGUCAAAUGACUUGUUUUAGACUACAACAAUAACAACCCAGUAUAAUCCGACUAGUGGUGUUUGGGGAGGGUAGAUGUACGCAAAACUUACCUCUACCGUGGGGUAGAGAGGCUGUUCCCGAUAGACCCUUGGCAUCCUUCCCUCCAAGAACUCACCAUCUUGCUCAUGGGAUGACUCGACGUCACAACCUCUUGGUUGGAAGUCGAGGGUAUUUGACAUUGAGCAACCCCCUAAAUUUAAAAUUUAAAAUUUGUUGCUGGCUUUCUUAAACUUCAUGCCUUGUAAAAUACCUUAAUUACUGAUAUUCAGCACUUUGUAUUCGAAUUCAGUAAAAAAUAAAGCUUGAUAGGGUAGAAUUGAAAGAAAGUAACCUUUGAAGAUGAGUUUUUGACCGCGAGGGAGGACAUUAGUGUGAGGUUGAAGGAGAGACUUGAGGUGUUCCACGGUGGACUCAUCGGAGAUUUCCACCGGUAUCGAUCGGCCGCCGAACUUAACAUUCACCGUUAUCGUGCUCCGAUUAUCAGUAUCGCUUGUGUGAGGUUGAAGGAGAUACUUGAGGUGUUCGACAGUGGACUCAUCGGUGGUUUCCACCGGUACCGAUCGGCCGCUGAACUUAACGUUCACCGUUAUCGUGCUCCGAUUAUCAUUAUCGCUUGUGCCCUCUUUCUCCAUUCCUCUUGUCUUUCUCUUGUACUUCCUUUUGAGUUACCUUUUUCACGAAUUUAAACAAAAAUAUCACAUUGACCAAAUUGUCCUUUAACGAGAAAUUGGUUAGAGCAUGUUUGGAAAGCCGAGGGUACUCAAUCCUCUUCUUUUUGCCCAGGUGAUGGAUGCCAUAA
rnacentral:lncRNA from 1 species